rnacentral:rRNA from 1 species
ACAUACGACCACAGGACACUGAAAAUAGGGCUUCCCGUUCGCUCAGCCUUCCUCAAGCAGUGUACCGGCGAGUUAGUAGUCGGGUGGGUGACCACUGGCGAAUCCUCGCUGUUGUAUGUA